rnacentral:rRNA from 1 species
AGCAGCCGCGGUAAUUCCAGCUCCAAUAGCGUAUAUUAAAGUUGUUGCAGUUAAAAAGCUCGUAGUUGAAUUUCGGGAUUGACACAUCGGUCGUGCCUUAAGGGGUAUGAACUGGUGUAGUCAAUUUCUCACCUUCUGGAGAACCGCGAUGCCCUUAAUUGGGUGUCACGGGGAACCAGGACCUUUACUUUAGAAAAAUUAGAGUGUUUAAAGCAGGCAUUUUGCUUGAAUACAUUAGCAUGGAAUAAUAAAUAGGACGGCAUGAUUCUAUUUGUGGUUUCUAGGAUCACCGUAUGAUUAAUAGGGAUAGUUGGGGCAUUAGUAUUCAAUUGUCAGAGUGAAAUUC